rnacentral:lncRNA from 1 species
CUGCCCAUGGCAUAAGGUUGGUAUGCUAUCAUAUCCCCUUUCUUGACACUGAAUCCAUCUGGCCAGGUAUCAUCGGAAAAACAGACCUUUGCAGUCUACAAAUGACAGCAACAAACAAACUCGUUACAAAGUAAUGUAAGCAAUUCAAACUAUCAGCUUAGCUUGUAGAAUAAUACUUGUACAUUAUAAUCAUCUGUUUUUUUUUUUUUCCGAACAUGUGUUAAAUUCAAUUAAUAUUCUUAUAUUUUACCACUGGAACUGCAGGGUACAGUCUGAGAGUCUCAGUCAAAGCUGCAUGGAGAUAUUGCAUUUUGUCUAGGACUUCUUCAGUAAGGCUGGCUGCAAAGUCAUCCACGCUUGAAUUAUCUUUCAGAUUGGUUGCUUCUCUAACCUCCUGU